rnacentral:rRNA from 1 species
AUUGAACGCUGGCGGCAUGCUUUACACAUGCAAGUCGAACGGCAGCGCGGGCUUCGGCCUGGCGGCGAGUGGCGAACGGGUGAGUAAUGCAUCGGAACGUGCCCAGUAGUGUGGGAUAGCCCGGCGAAAGCCGGAUUAAUACCGCAUACGACCUGAGGGUGAAAGCGGGGGACCGAAAGGCCUCGCGCUAUUGGAGCGGCCGAUGUCGGAUUAGCUAGUUGGUGGGGUAAAGGCCCACCAAGGCGACGAUCCGUAGCUGGGAUGAGAGGAUGAGCAGCCACACUGGAACUGAGACACGGGCCAGACUCCUACGGGAGGCAGCAGUGGGGACGAUGGGACAAUGGGAGCAGUCCUGAUCCAGCCAUACCGCGUGGGUGAAGAAGGCCUUCGGGUUGUAAAGCCCUUUUGUUGGGAAAGAAAAGCAGCAGGUUAAUACCCCGCUGUUCUGACGGUACCCAAAGAAUAAGCACCGGCUAACUUCGUG